rnacentral:rRNA from 1 species
CCCAGACUCCUACGGGAGGCAGCAGUGAGGAAUAUUGGUCAAUGGCCGAGAGGCUGAACCAGCCAAGUCGCGUGAGGGAAGAAUGUCCUAUGGAUUGUAAACCUCUUUUGUCAGGGAGCAAAGUCACCCACGUGUGGGUGUUGGAGAGUACCUGAAGAAAAAGCAUCGGCUAACUCCGUGCCAGCAGCCGCGGUAAUACGGAGGGUGCGAGCGUUAAUCGGAAUUACUGGGCGUAAAGCGCUCGUAGGCGGUAUGUCAAGUCAAGGGUGAAAUCCCCGCGCUCAACGUGGGAACUGCCUUUGAAACUGGCAAACUGGAGUGUGUGAGAGGAUAGUGGAAUUCCAGGUGUAGGAGUGAAAUCCGUAGAUAUCUGGAGGAACAUCAGUGGCGAAGGCGACUAUCUGGCACAUAACUGACGCUGAGGAGCGAAAGCGUGGGUAGCAAACAGGAUUAGAUUCCCCGGUA